rnacentral:rRNA from 1 species
UACGUAGGGUCCGAGCGUUGUCCGGAAUUAUUGGGCGUAAAGGGCUCGUAGGCGGUUAGUCACGUCGGGGGUGAAAACUCAGGGCUCAACCCUGAGCGUGCUUCCGAUACGGGCUGACUAGAGGUAUGCAGGGGAGAACGGAAUUCCUGGUGUAGCGGUGGAAUGCGCAGAUAUCAGGAGGAACACCGGUGGCGAAGGCGGUUCUCUGGGCAUUACCUGACGCUGAGGAGCGAAAGCAUGGGGAGCGAACAGG